AGUGAACGCUGGCGAUAGGCCUAACACAUGCAAGUCGAACGGCAGCACAGUAAGAGCUUGCUCUUACGGGUGGCGAGUGGCGGACGGGUGAGGAAUACAUCGGAAUCUACUUUUUCGUGGGGGAUAACGUAGGGAAACUUACGCUAAUACCGCAUACGACCUACAGGUGAAAGCAGGGGAUCUUCGGACCUUGCGCGAUUGAAUGAGCCGAUGUCGGAUUAGCUAGUUGGCGGGGUAAAGGCCCACCAAGGCGACGAUCCGUAGCUGGUCUGAGAGGAUGAUCAGCCACACUGGAACUGAGACACGGUCCAGACUCCUACGGGAGGCAGCAGUGGGGAAUAUUGGACAAUGGGCGCAAGCCUGAUCCAGCCAUACCGCGUGGGUGAAGAAGGCCUUCGGGUUGUAAAGCCCUUUUGUUGGGAAAGAAAAGCAGCAGGUUAAUACCCCGCUGUUCUGACGGUACCCAAAGAAUAAGCACCGGCUAACUUCGUG
rnacentral:rRNA from 1 species